rnacentral:rRNA from 1 species
AGAGUUUGAUCCUGGCUCAGAUUGAACGCUGGCGGCAUGCCUUACACAUGCAAGUCGAACGGCAGCACGGGGGCAACCCUGGUGGCGAGUGGCGAACGGGUGAGUAAUACAUCGGAACGUGUCCUGUAGUGGGGGAUAGCCCGGCGAAAGCCGGAUUAAUACCGCAUACGAUCUACGGAAGAAAGCGGGGGACCGAAAGGCCCUCGCGCUAUAGGGGCCGGCCGAUGGCAGAUUAGCUAGUUGGUGGGGUAAAGGCCUACCAAGGCGACGAUCUGUAGCUGGUCUGAGAGGACGACCAGCCACACUGGGACUGAGACACGGCCCAGACUCCUACGGGAGGCAGCAGUGGGAAUUUUGGACAAUGGGGGAAACCCUGAUCCAGCAAUGCCGCGUGUGUGAAGAAGGCCUUCGGGUUGUAAAGCACUUUGGUCCGGAAAG